rnacentral:rRNA from 1 species
UACGUAGGGUGCAAGCGUUGUCCGGAAUUAUUGGGCGUAAAGAGCUCGUAGGCGGUCUGUUGCGUCGGCUGUGAAAACCCGGGGCUCAACCCCGGGCCUGCAGCCGAUACGGGCAGACUAGAGUUCGGCAGGGGAGGCUGGAAUUCCUGGUGUAGCGGUGAAAUGCGCAGAUAUCAGGAGGAACACCGGUGGCGAAGGCGGGUCUCUGGGCCGAUACUGACGCUGAGGAGCGAAAGCGUGGGGAGCGAACAGG